CUGGUCCCUUUGCUAAGUUCUAAAUGGCGACAUAGCUUAGCAACCGGGCGUGGUACCUUGGCUAAUUUCUAAAUGGGGACAUAGCUUAGCAACUGGGUCUGGUCCCUUUGCUAAUUUUCUAAAUGGCGACAUAGCUUAGCAAUUGGGUAUGGCGCUUUGCUGUUUAAUAUGUCAUGGCGACUUAGCUUAGCUACUCGUUCUGGGUACAGCUAACUGCUACGGGUGCAGCUAGAGUCACUGGCGACAGUGGCUAAGGUCAAAAUAGCGCGGUAUGGUGUAAUAACCUGGCCUCGCCCUGUGUUUAUUUUGGAAGAGCAGCAGAACUAGCCACUAAAUGUGCAUGGCGGCGGUGCUAAUGUCAACUUAUGGAGGAACAUCUAUGGAGGCAUAGUUUGUACCCGGGUGGAUGUAGUUGGGAUUCGGUCUGGGGCCUGGGAUUUUUGGUUACUUGGAGUGGUGAAAUUUCGGAGAAAUGUCACUUUGGUGGUCAGGUCCUGAAUGGACAGGUCCACGUGAUUCGGACCUGAAUCCAAGUAACUCAAAUCCGGAGAUCAUUAGCUGACCACGUCUGCACCUAACCAUCCACACGGGUAAGUAUGGUGACGACAGAUAUUAAAUGAGGUUACAUAGUAACCAAGGUUAAUAUCAUAGGAGCCGCGCGCAGUCUGGGUACGACAUGUGCCCUCAGGAUGUCGGAUGUAGAGAGUGCCAAGCAGACUCUCAGGUCAUUAGCUAAUUCGUAGCCAACUGCAAUGGUUAUCUGCUCAGAGAAGAAGCAAUUUUUUUUUUUUUUCAUGACUACAAUUGAUUUUCAAUUUAAUUUCCAUCGAACUAAGUUCGGUGUGAUAAGGUGCAGACGUUCGGUGGUCAGGUCCUGAAUGGACAGGUCCACGUGAUUCGGACCUGAAUCCAAGUAACUCAAAUCCGGAGAUCAUUAGCUGACCACGUCUGCACCUAACCAUCCACACGGGUAAGUAUGGUGACGACAGAUAUUAAAGGUAUGGUACAUUGCGGCCAUUCAUUUGAUAUCGAUCGAUGUCAUCAUCCUCCCUCCCAUGGUGCCAAUGAGUAUAAAAAAUUGGCUUUGUUAGCCUGGUUUGCGCCGAUAAUAUUAUAUAUCGCAUUCGCAUGUGCCGUGUAUGCAUAGACCUUUCACGAGCAUCGUUAAUAAUAUUCAUAUCGUGGCUAGUUACCUUUCUUUGAAUCUAAGACUAAGAUUAUAUAUAGGCAAUAUAUUGAACAACGCGUCGACACUUUACU